AUGGGCAUUUCUUUGGACCAGUGCCGCAAGAACAUGUCACUUGAGGGGGUAUGCAGUCUAAUGUCUAGAGGCUCAAGAUACAAGACCAAGCUUGUUAUCUUCCCAAGUUGUGCUCGCAAGUACACGGUAUGGUGCCUAUUUCUUUUUCUCUUUGUAUUUUAUAUGUUCAUAUGUUUGCACCUGCUUAACCGCUCUCUUGUUCCAAGGCUGAUGAUUCUACUCCAGAUGAGCUUUCUACGACCAUCCAAGUCGACCAUCACUCGCGGCAGCAAGAAGCACUUGGUCGAAGUUGUGAAGGCUGUAGAUGACGUGAAGGCGUACAAGGUAUAUGGCAAGCUCCGUGUUGAGAGGAUGAACUGGCACCAAUUAGGAGCUUGGGUGAAGAUGGCUACCCGCAUGAAGAAAGAGGAGAAGAAGUGA
rnacentral:rRNA from 1 species